rnacentral:rRNA from 1 species
AUUGAACGCUGGCGGCAUGCCUUACACAUGCAAGUCGAACGGCAGCACGGGGAGGGGCAACUCUCUCUGGUGGCGAGUGGCGAACGGGUGAGUAAUGCAUCGGAACGUGUCCUCUUGUGGGGGAUAACCAGUCGAAAGAUUGGCUAAUACCGCAUGAGAUCGAGAGAUGAAAGCGGGGGACCGCAAGGCCUCGCGCGAGAGGAGCGGCCGAUGCCGGAUUUGCUAGUUGGUGGGGUAAAAGCCUACCAAGGCGACCAUCCGUAGCUGGUCUGAGAGGACGACCAGCCACACUGGGACUGAGACACGGCCCAGACUCCUACGGGAGGCAGCAGUGGGGAAUUUUGGACAAUGGGCGCAAGCCUGAUCCAGCCAUGCCGCGUGUGUGAAGAAGGCCUUCGGGUUGUAAAGCACUUUCGGACGGAACGAAAUCGCGCGGGCGAACAUCCCGCGUGGAUGACGGUACCGUAAGAAAAAGCACCGGCUAACUACGUGCCAGCAGCCGCAGUAACAC